rnacentral:rRNA from 1 species
UACGUAGGGUGCGAGCGUUAAUCGGAAUUACUGGGCGUAAAGCGUGCGCAGGCGGUGAUGUAAGACAGGUGUGAAAUCCCCGGGCUUAACCUGGGAACUGCAUUUGUGACUGCAUCGCUGGAGUGCGGCAGAGGGGGGUGGAAUUCCGCGUGUAGCAGUGAAAUGCGUAGAGAUGUGGAGGAACACCGAUGGCGAAGGCAGCCCCCUGGGCUGAGAUUGACGCUCAGGCACGAAAGCGUGGGGAGCAAACAGG